CAUACCUACUCAUUAUUUUUUGAAAAGCGCCAUGCGUAAAAUGCGUUGUAUAUUGUAUAUUAUCUACAACGAUUCUUUUCUAGUAUUUCAAUAAUGAAUAUUAAUAAAAGUAGGAUAAAUAUAUAUAUAUUUAAAUCAUGCAACGAAGAAAUUGGUGCAAUAUAUUAGUAGAGGCUUAUAGUUACUCAUCUAAAUAUUUAAUAUUUUGUUUGUCAAUUAUUGUUGCCUCAGUGAUAUUUAUAUGGAUCUAUGAAAGACCCCAGCUAUACAAGCUGAUUUUCAAAAAGAGCAAACAGUCAACAGUUUUUAGUCCAAGCGAGAGCGGUGAAAUAUUGGUUGGAAAUGGCAACAAAUUCCCACAAGAAAUGGGAAAUCAAGAAUUAAACCCUGAUAAUCAACUAGGAGAUACAUCCAGAAGUGAAGAUGAGCGCCACAUAGUACGUGGAAACUCAAACCAAAAUCUAACAUAUGAAUGAUACAAGAAACCACUAUUUAUUAUAGUAUGAACAGUGACAAUAUUUAUGUUUACAACAUGAUUGACUAUGACAUCCCAAUCUGUACUAUGGGUGUCAGGAAUAAUGUUCAAAACUCCACAGCUCAAAUCGCGCACCAUUAGAA